GGCGAGGUAGCUCAGGUGGUUAGAGCGUCGGAUUCAUAACCCGGAGGUCGGGAGUUCAAGUCUCCCCUUCGCUACAA
rnacentral:tRNA from 1 species